rnacentral:rRNA from 1 species
GUAGAGGUUUGACGGUACCGUACGAAUAAGCAUCGGCUAACUCCGUGCCAGCAGCCGCGGUAAUACGGAGGAUGCAAGCGUUAUCCGGAUUUAUUGGGUUUAAAGGGUACGUAGGCGGGAGCUUAAGUCAGUGGUGAAAUCCUGCAGCUUAACUGUAGAACUGUCAUUGAUACUGGGCUUCUUGAAUGUAGUUGAGGUAGGCGGAAUGUGUAAUGUAGCGGUGAAAUGCUUAGAUAUUACACAGAACACCGAUUGCGAAGGCAGCUUACUAAACUACGAUUGACGCUGAGGUACGAAAGCGUGGGGAGCGAACAGGAUUAGAUACCCUGGUAGUCCACGCUGUAAACGAUGAUCACUCGUUGUUGGCAAUACACCGUCAGCGACUGAGCGAAAGCAUUAAGUGAUCCACCUGGGGAGUACGACCGCAAGGUUGAAACUCAAAGGAAUUGACGGGGGCCCGCACAAGCGGAGGAACAUGUGGUUUAAUUCGAUGAUACGCGAGGAACCUUACCUGGGCUUAAAUGUAGAACGACGGACCGGGAAACUGGUCUUUCUUCGGGCGGUCUGCAAGGUGCUGCAUGGCUGUCGUCAGCUCGUGCCGUGAGGUGUCGGGUUAAGUCCCAUAACGAGCGCAACCCUCAUCAUUAGUUGCCAGCGGGUAAUGCCGGGGACUCUAAUGAAACUGCCGGUGUAAACCGAGAGGAAGGUGGGGAUGACGUCAAGUCAGCACGGCCCUUAUGUCCAGGGCUACACACGUGUUACAAUGGUCGGUACAAAGGGCAGCUACCUGGCGACAGGAUGCUAAUCUCGAAAACCGAUCUCAGUUCGGAUCGAAGUCUGCAACUCGACUUCG